rnacentral:rRNA from 1 species
UACGUAGGGCGCAAGCGUUGUCCGGAAUUAUUGGGCGUAAAGAGCUCGUAGGCGGCUUGUCACGCGGUUGUGAAAGCCCGGGGCUUAACCCCGGGUCUGCAGUCGAUACGGGCUAGCUAGAGUGUGGUAGGGGAGAUCGGAAUUCCUGGUGUAGCGGUGAAAUGCGUAGAGAUGUGGAGGAACACCAAGUGGCGAAGGCAGC